rnacentral:lncRNA from 1 species
ACUGACUUUUAGGCCGUCCUGUAUAUAUAUACAUAUAUACUGUAUUUGUAAAAUAAUAAGUUAUGCUUCUGCAAACGAAUUGGAAUAUUUAGAAGUUUCUUAUUUAUACAUAUAUAUGUAAUUCUUUUUUCUAGAUGAUGAACUAACGGCAGCAGGAGGACCAGGCCCAAUGGAUGUGCUGCAAACGAGCUGUGCCAUCCCAAUCUCUCCUCGAAAUACACCCGUUUGGACAGCAACUUGGGACACAACCAGUAGACACGCAGCCUCGCAUCAUUAAAACCCUUGGAAACGUGGCCGAGGACUCGUCUCUGAAAUCAUCUAAAGCCAAAAACACAAGUUACUAAUUCAGAUGUGAUCUGUAUCGCCGAACUAACUUAUUUAUUACUGUCUUCUGAUCCGAAAACAAAACGGUGAUACCAACGUGUCGACUCUGCUGCACGAUGGCCACGGUGUGAUAUAGACUCCUAUCGGUUGUCCAUUUUAUUGUUAUAUCUGCAUGUGGAUAUAUUCAACGUUCAUAAAAAGUAAUCACAACUUCAAAUCACCGGGUUUUACCAUACAAAACUGGAGAUACCACGUGAAAGAAUCGAGAAGAUGGACGAGGUCGCUUGCUCAAUAUGCCGAAAUAUUUUGGAGCGUUCUGCUCACGUCUCAAUAAUAGUAAUACUUUAUGUGGUGGCUUGCUUUUUAUUGGUGCUCCGUGUGUUGUCUCUUCUUUUUUCGGAAAUAGUUGGAACGUAUAUAUAUAUAUAUAUAUACCCAAAGAAGGUGUGUGUGGCAGAGAAUAACGAGUGAACUGUAGAUAAACAGGAGCCCAAGGCUCCGAUGAUGGAAGAGACGGUUUUCAAAUAAGACAGAAAACUGUUUUCAAGGCAUUGUUUAAAACAUAUGCUUUUUGUAUUUGUACACAAAAUUGUGGUUCUCAACUCGGACAGAUCACUUAAUGAUUCACAAAUGACAGUGCCAUGGCUGUAAGUCAAAUCGAUUUUUAAAAAACCCUCGAGGUUGUCAGUAGUAAUGUAUUGGUAAUUUGUGAUGUACAGAAACUUACUUGUGUGUAAACGUGUUUAUGUACUCGUAUCAGAUUUUCAGGCUGUUAAAUGCCAAAAACUCCAAAGAGAUUAGUAUCCCCAAGUGUAGUUCCUAUGAUUUCUUGUACAGUACGUUUGGCAGCAUGUGUCGAUUGAUAGAAGGAAAACCAGUGGGAUCUCAGACUAUGUAGAAGCUACCAACUGUGAUGACGAGACAAAUCAUGGUGCUGGUAUCUGUUUUCGCUAAGUAUUUACGUGUCUCAUAAUUCAUGUGAUAUGCCAAGCAUUCAUCUAGAACAGCAGUUGAUUUCAAAGAACAGUUUCUCACUUUCCAAAAAAUGAUCUGGCCAUUAGAAAUACAAACAUACAAUGUAUUCACUUUUACAGUGUUUUUGAAAGCUUAUUUGCAGAGGAAUCUUUAACGGAACAUUUUACAUCUUCUAUAGAACAUGAUUUGACUAUUUAGUUUCUAAAGCCAUACCGUUAGAUGAAAUUUUCAUAGUUUUUCAUCCAUGUAUUUGCACGUAUGGUAAUCGUGAGUUGUGAAUCUAUUUUUUGAAUUUUCACUUGCACAUUUGUAGCUGUGAUCUAAUAAAACACCAUUCCAAUUUAA